GCUGGCGGCAUGGUUAAGACAUGCAAGUCGAACGAAAAGCAAGUCUUCGGAUUUGUGGAAAGUGGCGAACGGGUGCGUAACACGUGAGCAACCUGCCCUAAAGUGCGGAAUAGCCUGCCGAAAGGUGGAUUAAUGCCGCAUGUGGCCUUUCUACGCAUGUAGAAAUGGCUAAAGCUUGUAAUGGCGCUUUAGGAUGGGCUCGCGGCCUAUCAGCUUGUUGGUGAGGUAAAAGCUCACCAAGGCUAAGACGGGUAGCUGGUCUGAGAGGAUGAUCAGCCACACCGGGACUGAGACACGGCCCGGACACCUACGGGUGGCAGCAGUUUCGAAUCAUUCACAAUGGGCGAAAGCCUGAUGGUGCAAUGCCGCGUGGAGGAUGAAGGCCUUAGGGUCGUAAACUCCUGUCAUUGGGGAGCAACAAGCAGGUUUAUAGCCUGCCCUGAGUUAACCCAAAGAGGAAGAGGUGGCUAACUCCGUGCCAGCAGCCGCGGUAAUACGGAGACCUCGAGCGUUACUCGGAUUCACUGGGCGUAAAGGGUGAGUAGGCGGCCAAUUAUGUCGGGUGUGAAAUCCCGGGGCUUAACCCCGGAACUGCGCCCGAAACUACUUGGCUAGAGUCUCGGAGAGGAUAGUGGAAUUCCAAGUGUAGCGGUGAAAUGCGUAGAUAUUUGGAGGAACACCAGUGGCGAAGGCGACUGUCUGGACGAGUACUGACGCUCAAUCACGAAAGCGUGGGUAGCGAAAGGGAUUAGAUACCCCUGUAGUCCACGCCGUAAACGUUGCACACUAAGUUUCGGAGGAUUCGACCCCUUCGGAGCUCAAGCUAACGCGUUAAGUGUGCCGCCUGAGGACUACGGCCGCAAGCUAACUCAUAAAAGGAAUGCG
rnacentral:rRNA from 1 species